rnacentral:ncRNA from 1 species
UGAAAAGCGAUGAUGAGAAGAGUAGUUAAGCAAACGUUGUUCCCAGAGAGCUCCAGCCGGUGAAAUGGAGCAGCAAUGUGCCUGACGAAAAAAGUCUCUGAGCUGCAUACGGAAUUAUGCGUACUGAACGCCUAAGGAUGGUAUGACGGGAGCUCCCGUUACAGAGCUAGGGUAUAAGCGUUAUGGCCGUACCCGAAGAGGCGGGCCUGGCAACAUGUCCGCGAACAGAGGUGGUACCACGGUGCUUAUGACAGCUCCCGUCCUCAAG